CCUACGGGGGGCAGCAGUGGGGAAUUUUGGACAAUGGGCGAAAGCCUGAUCCAGCCAUUCCGCGUGCAGGAUGAAGGCCUUCGGGUUGUAAACUGCUUUUGUACGGAACGAAAAGGUCCGCUCUAAUACAGCGGGCAGAUGACGGUACCGUAAGAAUAAGCACCGGCUAACUACGUGCCAGCAGCCGCGGUAAUACGUAGGGUGCAAGCGUUAAUCGGAAUUACUGGGCGUAAAGCGUGCGCAGGCGGUUUUGUAAGACAGAGGUGAAAUCCCCGGGCUC
rnacentral:rRNA from 1 species